rnacentral:rRNA from 1 species
GUAUAAUGUAUAUUUAUAUUAUUUAUGCCUCUAACUGGAACGUACCUUGAGCAUAUAUGCUGUGACCCGAAAGAUGGUGAACUAUACUUGAUCAGGUUGAAGUCAGGGGAAACCCUGAUGGAAGACCGAAACAGUUCUGACGUGCAAAUCGAUUGUCAGAAUUGAGUAUAGGGGCGAAAGACCAAUCGAACCAUCUAGUAGCUGGUUCCUUCCGAAGUUUCCCUCAGGAUAGCUGGUGCAUUUUAAUAUUAUAUAAAAUAAUCUUAUCUGGUAAAGCGAAUGAUUAGAGGCCUUAGGGUCGAAACGAUCUUAACCUAUUCUCAAACUUUAAAUGGGUAAGAACCUUAACUUUCUUGAUAUGAAGUUCAAGGUUAUGAUAUAAUGUGCCCAGUGGGCCACUUUUGGUAAGCAGAACUGGCGCUGUGGGAUGAACCAAACGUAAUGUUACGGUGCCCAAAUUAACAACUCAUGCAGAUACCAUGAAAGGCGUUGGUUGCUUAAAACAGCAGGACGGUGAUCAUGGAAGUCGAAAUCCGCUAAGGAGUGUGUAACAACUCACCUGCCGAAGCAACUAGCCCUUAAAAUGGAUGGCGCUUAAGUUGUAUACCUAUACAUUACCGCUAAAGUAGAUGAUUUAUAUUACUUGUGAUAUAAAUUUUGAAACUUUAGUGAGUAGGAAGGUACAAUGGUAUGCGUAGAAGUGUUUGGCGUAAGCCUGCAUGGAGCUGCCAUUGGUACAGAUCUUGGUGGUAGUAGCAAAUAAUCGAAUGAGACCUUGGAGGACUGAAGUGGAGAAGGGUUUCGUGUGAACAGUGGUUGAUCACGAGUUAGUCGGUCCUAAGUUCAAGGCGAAAGCCGAAAAUUUUCAAGUAAAACAAAAAUGCCUAACUAUAUAAACAAAGCGAAUUAUAAUACACUUGAAUAAUUUUGAACGAAAGGGAAUACGGUUCCAAUUCCGUAACCUGUUGAGUAUCCGUUUGUUAUUAAAUAUGGGCCUCGUGCUCAUCCUGGCAACAGGAACGACCAUAAAGAAGCCGUCGAGAGAUAUCGGAAGAGUUUUCUUUUCUGUUUUAUAGCCGUACUACCAUGGAAGUCUUUCGCAGAGAGAUAUGGUAGAUGGGCUAGAAGAGCAUGACAUAUACUGUUGUGUCGAUAUUUUCUCCUCGGACCUUGAAAAUUUAUGGUGGGGACACGCAAACUUCUCAACAGGCCGUACCAAUAUCCGCAGCUGGUCUCCAAGGUGAAGAGUCUCUAGUCGAUAGAAUAAUGUAGGUAAGGGAAGUCGGCAAAUUAGAUCCGUAACUUCGGGAUAAGGAUUGGCUCUGAAGAUUGAGAUAGUCGGGCUUGAUUGGGAAACAAUAACAUGGUUUAUGUGCUCGUUCUGGGUAAAUAGAGUUUCUAGCAUUUAUGUUAGUUACUUGUUCCCCGGAUAGUUUAGUUACGUAGCCAAUUGUGGAACUUUCUUGCUAAAAUUUUUAAGAAUACUAUUUGGGUUAAACCAAUUAGUUCUUAUUAAUUAUAACGAUUAUCAAUUAACAAUCAAUUCAGAACUGGCACGGACUUGGGGAAUCCGACUGUCUAAUUAAAACAAAGCAUUGUGAUGGCCCUAGCGGGUGUUGACACAAUGUGAUUUCUGCCCAGUGCUCUGAAUGUCAAAGUGAAGAAAUUCAAGUAAGCGCGGGUCAACGGCGGGAGUAACUAUGACUCUCUUAAGGUAGCCAAAUGCCUCGUCAUCUAAUUAGUGACGCGCAUGAAUGGAUUAACGACGGACGUGUUUUCGUUGCGCUCGUGGGGAUCAUGGGGUAUUUGAGAGCAGAGGGGGAGUAUUCUUCUGUAAUUCGUAAGUCAUAUCAUAUGAUGUGCGGAAGGGGAAUUUUACUCUGUAACUCACAAGUCUCUCCUUUACUCAAGUCGACUCAAAACCUCCUCGUGGUGGUCCCCGGUAAUGCUAAACUCGUUUAGCAGCUAAUUUGAGCGGCAAAACUUUUCCGAUGGGCUGGUUCCCCAGAGGAAAUUUAUUCAUAUUGGAACUACAAGCACAAAUAACGAGCCUCGGAUACCUUUACACAAUCUGAUGACGACCCGACCCUCCGUGGAUAUCUUCCCGGAGGACCAAUAUGAACCAAACGCAGCGGCUACUCUAUCUAGGGUUCCCUGCACAGUAUGUGGCCGGUCCUUUAACAGCAAGAGAGGACUCGGUGUUCACAUGCGAUCUCGGCACCCAGACGAACUUGAUGAAGAACGUCGACGUGUCGAUAUAAAGGCAAGAUGGAGUGAUGAAGAGAAGUGGAUGAUGGCGAGAAAGGAGGUUGAGCUCACAGCAAAUGGAUGUAAACACAUAAACAAGCAACUAGCGGUGUAUUUUGCAAACCGCAGCGUCGAAGCCAUCAAAAAGCUAAGACAGAGGGGCGAUUAU